ensembl:lncRNA
CUGACAGCACUGCAGUAACAUGAUCUCUCCCCCCACAUCUCUGUGGUUGCAAAUAGAUCAUGGCCAUGUGACAGCACAUGGAUCUCUAGUUCUUCCUGGCUAAUCCUCAUGCUGCCAGCACUAGUAUACAGAUUUGCAAGAGGUGUUUAACUGCAGGCUUAUCAGUUCUUGUGAUGAAACGCUGGUGUCCCUGAGCUCAACAGACCAGCAACAGGCAGCAGAUUAGUCUAAGUGGGGGAGAACUUGUUACCUGCUCAGUGCCUGCAGAGCACCCUGACUCAACUCCUCUAAGGACUGUCCAAGAAGAGAAAAUUCUGCAUUUUCACAGGCAUUUGUAGAGAAGACUGUGGCGAUCCCUGAAAAUGUGAACUAAUUGUAAAUGAAGAUGCUGUUUUUCCACCGAAGUCUAAAUACAAACAGUCUUAGCUAAGAUAACUAUGCAUCUGUGGCUACAUAUAUAGAAAUGAAGAAGAAGCUGCAUGAGUAUACUGUAUUAUAUAAGAUAUUUGAUAAGUGAAUACAGAAUCACGUAGGAGAAAAUCUGUUAGUUAUAUAGCAUGUGACUAAAUAUUUGAGCUGAAAUCAAAAUAGUUGUGUAAAUGUAGUCAAGUUCAUCAUGCUAUUCACCAUGUGUUGGUGGAAAGCAAAAAACAAACUUGUUUUCACAAUAAAA